GCAGUGGAGCGAUCACGGAACCAUAACUGAUUUAAUGAGCCAUUUGCAGUUUCACUGUACCGGCCGUGUGUACUUAGACUUGCAUGGCUUAAUCUUUGAGACAAGCAUAUGCUACUGGCAGGAUCAACCAGGUAAAGGAAAAAUGCAAAGAUCUUUGAAU